rnacentral:rRNA from 1 species
UACCUUAGUGGCGGACGGGUGAGGAAUACGUAGGAAUUUGCCCUUAAGUGGGGGAUAGCCCGGGGAAACCCGGAUUAAUACCGCAUGAUCUCGAAAGAGCAAAGUGGGGGAUCGCAAGACCUCACGCUUUUGGAGAAGCCUACGUCGGAUUAGCUAGUUGGUGAGGUAAUGGCUCACCAAGGCGACGAUCCGUAACUGGUCUGAGAGGAUGAUCAGUCACACCGGAACUGAGACACGGUCCGGACUCCUACGGGAGGCAGCAGUGGGGAAUAUUGGACAAUGGGCGCAAGCCUGAUCCAGCAAUGCCGCGUGUGUGAAGAAGGCCUUCGGGUUGUAAAGCACUUUAAGUUGGGAAGAAAAAACUCGCUCUAACAUAGUGAGUCUUG